rnacentral:lncRNA from 1 species
UUUGGAUUUGCUUCAUCUAAAGGUCACGAUUAUUUGCCAAAAAUACUUGUCAAAUCCAUAUGUAGGAGAAACGCUUCCCAUAAAUUAACAAAAUCAGUGGUUUUAUGGAGGCUACUCCAGAUUCAUCCAGGUUUCCUUCUUAGCUGUUAAUUUCAAAUUUUGUACAAAUUAAUAUUUGGUUUGUGUUGGACUGUACCAUAUUGUAUUAAAUUAAUUAUGAUCAGGAAGUUGGGUUCAUAAAUCAAGAGGUAAAGCUUUCUUUCUUCGAUGUAAUUUUUUUUUUUGGGAGCUUGAACAUUGAGAUGAGAUGUCAAUGAAUGGAGGUGUAAAAUGAAUCUUUGAGAAAAUUGUAGCUGACCCAACCUAUUUUAUCUAUAUCUUUGUUUUCAAUGUUUAAAAUGAAAUUUUUUAGUCCUCGAACACAUGAUUCUGAAUGAUGUUUUUUAUUCAAAUAAUCGUUAAAUUUGCUCUAAGUCAUACAGGAUAAAGGUGGAAAAAAAAGUAGAGAGUAAAAGUGCAGUUCCCCAAGGGAACAUGAAAUGGCCAUAGUAGCUAAGCCAAAAUUUCAGAAACAGUCAACAAUUUUAGAAAGCAAUUAUUCUUCGUACUCAGACAACCGUUUCCAGACCCCAUAGAAAGCUCCAUUUUUGCUAAGAACCUGACGGUACAUCAUAGUUGCUGAAAUCACAGCCUUAACGGCUGUACUAGGAGGCCAUGACAUUCAGUGUCUUCCUUGAUGCUCAUUAGUAGAGUUCACCAGGUAUUGCAUAGGGUUAAUCAGGCCUUCGAGAGAGAGAAUCAGGUUGGAACAUUUGAUCCGGCAAUUGGAUUGCACUUUAACUACUAAGAUUUCUCUUAAAAAAUCACAAAUGCUCUGGACCAUAAAAUCAAGCAGUUGGAAUAUCAUUUUUCAGAUGGCGGAGGUUACAUCGAUGGCUUCUGCCAAAGACUGCAGAAUGUCUCAAUAGUGGCCGGAGGCUGUGAUGUAUAGCCAAAGCUUCGACACUUGCUGUCGAAGGACAACCAUCUCGAGGAUAACAAAACUUUUAAUUGAGUAGUUCAUUGAACAUCUAAGAGGCAAAGUCAAUCUGGAGUUUCUCUAUGAAUGAUAAAGAUAAUAAUUGGAUUUCGCUGAUAAUAUUCCCUAUCGCAACUAGACGGCAGUCGUCGGGGUAGUAGCUUUCGGUGGUAGCCUCGACAGCCAUUCCUGAGAGCUUUGAUAGCCUCGACAAUUGAGGAUCCAAGCUGCAUACAUUGCUCUUUUUUCUGGGUUAAUUAUAUAAAUGGUCACUUAAUUUUAUCAAACGUUACUACUUAAUAACUGAACUUAUAAAUAUAUUUUAGUGAUCACUAAACUAUAAACCGUGUUACUCAUUCAUCACCCACGUUGAUUUUAUAUGUUAAAUCUAAUGGAAUGAAAAAGUGUCCAACGGAAUUCCAACUUGGCCAAAAUCAAACAUCUAAUACACGUAAGCGUGUUUGAAAGAAUAAUAAAGGCCCAUUGAAGGGAAAAAGAAAAAACAUAUACCCAUUUUCCCCCCAAAUCAACAAUACCCUAUAUUUUUUUUCAUUUUCUCGAACAUGGGUAACCAGUAGCAACCAUUGAUGUGUUAGCUUAAUGCCCAUUCUUCGAGUAGUGUUUUGUAAAAUCACAUUAUGAUUUGACGUUCAUUUAUUUGCGUGUUAUAUUUUGAAGUCAUUGUCUAAGGUUCCAUGAUCUUAUAGGAUGUCACAAAUUGUAUACUCGAUGGAUCGGGUAUAGUAAGACACAAUUUGUGAUGUGAUCAAAAUUAUGUCAUUCACAAUCGUUCAUAAAGUUGGACGCUUUAUGUUGAUAAAAUUGUGCUGUUCUUAUUAGGAUUUGUCUAGAUCUUGAAAUAGGAACAAUAAUGUGUUUCGAUGCACAUUGAACGGGACCACGUAGAUGACUCAUUUGUGACCAUUUGAAAUGAGACUCUACUUGAUUAUCAAACAGGUCACCUAAAUCCUAAGUGAGUAAUGUACCUUUGAUUGCUAGUUCAAGUUCUUUAAGGUACCAAUGAGUGAAGUCUUAAAUAGAAGAUUGAUCUCGGUGCUUUGGGAAUUGGGUCGAAACAAUUAGAGAUUAUAUACUUACAAUAGUGGAAUCCAUUAAUCAUUGAGAUGAGACGAUCAUCACUCUAAGGUAUUUUCUUAGGCAAAUUGAAUCUGAGCUCAAUAGGUCGACAAUGAGAUCGUUGGACUUUACAUUGUGAUUUGAUCAAAACGAAUUUGUCGUAUGAAAAUGAGACUUGGAGAGUAAUACAUGUUGAAGGGAAAAACGGUCAUUUUGCCAGUUUCAACAUAUUAGUGGUCAAAUGGGGGUUGACUUGUGGAACGAUAAUCAGAUGCUAUUGUUAUUGGAUCAUAAUUUGCUUCUAUAACUAUCACUCGACUCGAGAGUGCAAUCUCGAUUUUUUUGUAGAAUAAACCGGGAUUAAUAAAUAUAUCUCAAUUGGUCAAGAGUUGACCAAAUUGGAAACAUCUAUUGGAGCUUGAGUCAUAUGAUUCCGAUUAGGUCUCUCUCUUGGCUUCAAUAAAAGGUGUGUGACUUAAUUGGUCUACUACAAUAAAGUUCAAGAAAAUUUGUGCAAUUUUCAAACCCUAAUAGGGCAUUAUAAAUAUGCACUUUAUUGGCAUAUUUUAUAUGAGAAUUAGAGUUAGCCACUUUUCACUUUUUCCAAAAAGGAAAUACACCUAGUGGAGAACAAGGGAGGAGAUUUAAGGGAGGAAGCAAUUGGCUAGAUCAUUAAUAACUCCUUCAAAAAAUUAUCAUCUCCUCUUUCUAUGAGUGAGGAUUUUAUAAUUCAAUGAUCUCAAGGUCAAUAAAAUCCUUAUUUACAUGAUUUUAAUCUUAAAAAAAAAUUAAUUUCCUAUUGUGAUGAUUAAAAUUCAUUAACCAACAAAUUGUAUCAGAGCCAAGGUUAUUGUAAGCCUUGAGUAGGAUUAAAAAAAAAUUUUAAAUCCUAGUGUAAUAUGCAUUUUAGUUGGGUGGUGUUAGGUUAUUUGAUUUUUGACAUGUUUAUGCUUUAAAUAUGUUUAAAGUUAUUGUUGAUACAUUCAUAAUCACUUUUGGUCCUAGAAUUUCUUUUUACUUCCUAUUGUAUUCCAUUUGUUAUAGUUGUUAUCUAGAAAUAUUGUAAGCCAUAAGGCACUAAGGUUUUUUUGUAAUUUUUCUGUAUUUUCACACUUGUAUUUUGAGGAAGAAAUGUAAACUUUAUUGCUGUAUUUUCAAUGAAGAGGAAUGAAGGACAAAAUGCAAGAAAUAAAACCAAGAAACACCAAAGGCACCAUAGCAGCCAUAGUUGCUGUUGGCCACCGGAGGGCGAUGCCAAUGGUGGCCUCUUUCGGGGUCAUCGGAGUAGUGUGUGUUUUGGUGGAAGUGUGUUUUCUUGCUAUGGUUUGAAAAUUAGGGUAAUUUGAAUUUCUUGGGCCUCUCUUUGAUACGUGGGCCAAUGUUGUUGGAUAAUGGCCUUGUUGGUUUUAAAUUUUGGGCCUAAAAAUUAAAUUAACCCUAUUUUCAUGUUACAUGAGAUGGACUACGAAGAAGAUUGAAAAAUUGGGCUGGGUUGUGGCCCAAUAUAAUUCUUUUUAUCCAUGUUGUAAUUUAAAUUCUUAGGGUAGGCCAUUAG